ACCACUCCCUCUGCAAAAUGCCAGACGCCAUCCUGACUUGUUUACAGACUCUAACAUCCGAGGCUGCUAGACAGCCAGGUGCCAGCUGUGCCCACUGUGGCCUUGGGAUGCUGGGAGGGAAUAGACGGGAGGAGGCAGGCGGGGCCGGAGGCUGGGAAAUGAGAGGCCGGCAGAGGCUGCUUGUCCAGGGCUGCGCCACCUGGCAGGGUGGUGGCCUUGGGGCCGUGGUGCUCGGGGAGACCAGCUUGGUGGACAUCUGACUGCUGUCUCCCCCAUUUUCAUGUAAAAGGGGGGACGUGCCUGGGGCUGGGGCCACCAUCUGUCCUGGGAGCCCCAUUGUGCUGAGACCACUGCAGGGCAGAGGGGCCAGCUGUGGGCAGAGGUCGUGGGGAAGGACACGGCCAACAGAAGGAAGCUUUCAGGGCUGGUGGCGCAGAGGGUGGGCUUCGCCGGUGGGGCUGGGGGGCACCAGCUCAGCUCAGGGCCCCCCUCUCCCGGCCCCCUGCUGGAACCCCAGGGCAGGAGGACAGGAGCCUUUCCCUGUUGGUCACGCCUGCUCCUUGACGCUUCAGAAGAUGGCUGGCCACGUUCCUGUCAAGCUGGCUGAGACUCUGUCCCUUCUGGGGCCUGUGUAAGUCCCAGAAACCUUAGGGACACUGAGUUAAGUCUCAGGGAGUGGCCGGCGUCCCCAGUGGGUGGGCUCUGAGCAGAGAGGGCACAAGGCCAGCGCUGGCCUCGGGCCUUUCUGUCUGGCUCCCAUGGGGCCUUUUAAGUGGGUUUUGCCAGUUUUAAAAACCAGGAGAUUCAUGUAAAAAUGCUGCCCUCUUCCAAAAGCCAAGGCUGCGGGCCCACGGGCCCCUGUGCCUCACAGCUGGCCAAGCUGAGCCGCGGGACGUGCCCUCGGGGUGCCAUAGCCCCCCAUCCCGUGCACCCCGGGGCCCCGCCACACUCACAUGCAACCCAGCCAGGGCUGCUGGGACGGCAGGGAGCUGUGGGGUGACCCCGUGUCCCCAAGUGCACAGAGGGAGCAGAGGACAGCUGGCCAAGGACCAAGGAGCAUCUCCAUGACGACCACAUGACUGAUCGGCCAGUCCAGGCGGGAGGACAGAUGCUGACCACCUGCUAGCUUGGAGGGAGGGGGCCCGAGGACCCUGUGGUCCCUGCUGUAAGCUUCAGAAGAGGGGAGGGGUCAGCCCCAAAGUGUCGGAGGUCAAAUUCCCAGCGUCCCUGCCGAGCAGGACAGAAUAGGGACAAGAGGAGCGUCUAGGGCUCCUCACCUUGAGCCACACUGGGGUCUGCUACCUUCCGCUUUGGGGACAAUCACAGGGCACAGCAGGCUCGGGACAGCCCCCAAGGCCCCUGCUGGGGGCGAUACAAACCCGGCUUCUGGACCCCACCCAGGCCUGGCCAUCUGGCUCUGAUGCCAAGAUGGGGUUGGGCUGGAGACAGCUCAGGUGGCCUUCUCCCACACUGUGUGGAGGACUGAGGAGGGCCGGGUCCUCUCUAAAUAGGGCCUGUCCCCACGGCUGCUGUCCCCACCGCCCCACGAAAUCCCUGUGGGGAGAGGAGGGGCCGCUCCAGGCUCCGCCCCCUCAGGGACGUGGAUCACCGGUGCCCGGCUGGGUGGUGGUGCCCGGCUGGGUGGUGGUGCCCGGCUGGGUGGUGGUGCCCGGCUGGGUGGCGGCGCCCGGAGUCCCUGGACACAGGAGCAUGGCUCUCCACUGAGGAGGGCUCAGCUGCCGGGGUGGACGCUGGCUGCAGCUGCUCAGGGUCACGGCCACUGUCACGGGGGCUGGAGGAGGAGGUGCUCAGGGCUUUGCCGACAGCCCAGGGUCUGAAUCCCGCCUCGGCCGGCCCUCGGUGAGGUCACCGUGAUGUCAACAUCCCCUGCGCUGCUGGGAAAUGACAAUGACAAGAUGACGUGGCCUGGCCACACACGGCACUUUGUGAAGGUCAGCAACGCCCGACCCUCAGAGAAAGUGGGAACAGAGGCUCCAGUAAGAAGAUGCUACUGUCCGGCCAAGUGCGUCCACAUCAGACCUCUGAGCUGACCACAGCAGGUCAGGCCUCGGUCCUCACAUGAAGAUCUGGGACAUGGAGGUCAUGUUUGGGCGUGGCCAAGAUCCCUGGAGCCAAGUCCUGCUGCCCCUCCAAACAGGGCCCACGACACCCACUUUGCCACAGUCCCCACUCCUCUAUAUUGUCCCACACCCGAGAGGAGACAAGAGGGCGAGUGUCCACACAGAGGUGCGCCAGUGUGGACAGACCCCAGCUCCAGCAGGCACAAUGGCAGACGGGACAGGGCCAGCCUCUCUACACCACCAGCCAAGGAGGACACCCGCAUGGUGACGUAGGCAUGAGAAGAAAAUAACAAUGCGAUGUCCAAGAGCUCUGUCCUGACGAGUGACCCUGAGCCCUCAGGGACCCAGCUCCCCGCUAAGCAGGACACUGCAGAGAGUCUCGAGCUUGCUGCCACCAGAGCCCCUGGGCUGCGCUGCACGGACAUCAACAGGUGGAGGGGACCCGGCCUCUGAGCCUCCAGGAGGACCACGGAGGCUGGUUGGAGGCUGCCUGGCAGCAGCCACAGAGCCCAGCUGGGACAGGAGCCUUUGGGGCCAAGGCUGCCUCAGGGGCACAGAUGUCAGCCCCACUUCCCUGGGGUCCUAGGGAAACUCCCCACCCCACCCUGGCCACCCAUGUGGCUUGCCCCUUCCUCUGGGGCUGUGGCCUUUGUGUGGCCCAAUCUGGGGCAAAGUCACCCGGGGCUUUGCCAGACUCCAGGAAGGGACAGUUGACUACCCCAGGCUGCUGAGCUGGUGGGGGGCUGGAGCUGGGGGCCCCACCCUCGGGCGCCACUCCCCUGGAUCAUCAGAAUGCCACUCUGGUACCCCACGACCCAGGCCCUCCCUGGGGCCUUUCCUCACCAAAGACUUAGUACCAGACUAAUGGAAGACAGGGCCACGUUAUGUCACCAUGGGUCACAAAGACACAGCUCUAAGCCUCCGUAUAUAUUUAAAAGUAGCGAAAUGAUACCCGAGCCUCACACAACAUCCUUGUCUCCCUGGUGUAAUAAACGUACACAAAAGUGAUUCAAAUAGAACUCUCCAG